GUGGUGAACACACAGUACAAUAUACAGAUGAUGGGUUAUAGACUUGUACAACUGAAGCCUACAUGACCUUAUUAACCUGUGUCAACCCAAUUGAUUCAAUUAACAAAACGGAAAGAACAUUUUGACAGAAGCUACUAUGUGGAUGGACCUUGAAGAAGUUAUGUUCAGUGCAAAGCCAGUCAAAAGAAGAUAACUACUGUGUGAUUCCACUCUCAUGAGUUCCCUAGGACCAUCGGUGUCAGAGACGGAAGGCAAGAUGGAGUAUGAUUUAGAAUACCAAGAUUCGUAAGCAACCCAUGUGCCCAUCAAUAGAUGAGUGGAUAAAAAUGCUUUGGUACAUUGACACAAGGGAGUACUACUUGGCUGU